UUUUAGUGCAGCCAUAGGCUUUUGUGUUCAAGGUUUGAUCGUUCAUCUUAUUUGAAUUUUUUUAUGAUUAACAUUUUUAUUGUUAUUAGAUGAUAAAAUAUGAAUAAUAUUUUAUGCAUGACAUAUUUUUAAUUUUUUUCUCCAUAAUUCUUUUAAAUAAGACGGACCAUCAAACGUUGGACCACAAAACUCACAGCGACACUUAAA
rfam:Oryza meridionalis cultivar OR44 (W2112) chromosome 3, whole genome shotgun sequence.